rnacentral:ribozyme from 1 species
UGCCCAGCAACUUCUAUUCCUACCUUCGCGUGGUACCGGCCGGAAACUAUUAGCAACCUCAGGGAAGA